rnacentral:lncRNA from 1 species
GUCUAGUGAAAGUAAAAAGAAGAAAAACAGAGCUAAGCCAAGGAAAUGAUUUCUUUCCCACCUACAAUGCAUGAAAAGAAAUUAACAUGAAAAGGGUCUGAGGAAGACAUUAAUAUUUUGAUAGUGGCAGAAGAAUGUUAUUUACAAAAAUAAUGACAAAUGUUGAAGAGAAAAUACAGGCUUCCUAGCAACUAGACCAAAGAUAAGAGACUAGGCCCAGACAGAAGGAUAUGCCACAGCAGGAGACAGGAUCCAGAAUGAGAAUAGACAAAAGACAUUUUCAAAAGUCCAGGUUCACAGCUUGACAGAAGCCUUCACACAGAAAGAGCCAUUGCACAUUGGACAGAUGAUCCCAGAAUGGAAGUUUCCAGAGGAAAUAACAGUCAAUAAACAGGAGUCACGGCGGGAAGUACAGCAUCACGCAGACAGACUGGUUGCUGGAGAAGCCAAGAAUUCGACAUCUUGAUCCAAAGGCAGCCAU